GGGAGAGAGAGAGGGGGAUGACAUGCAGCAAAGGGCCUCGAGUCGGAUUUGAACCCAGGCCACUGGCAAGGACCGAGCCCACAUGGGGCGCGCGCUCUACCAGAUCCAUUUGAACCAGCAGAGGGGGUUAACAAUGAAGACAACUCCUCCCAUGAUCCCACACAACUUCACAACAUCAUCAAAAGUCCAGGUUUACACCCGUGGUUUCGAUUGACAGACCCCUAGAGGCAGAAAAUAAAAUACAAAAUAUUUUAAAAUGAAAAA